rnacentral:rRNA from 1 species
UGAUGACGAGACGCUAAGGCGUUGAAGCAGUGUAUGUCAGACUUCCAAGAAAAAGCUCGCAAUGUCACAAAUAAAGAAUGCCUGUACCAUAACCGACACAGGUGGGUAGGUAGAGUAUACUAAGGGGCGCGAGAUAACUCUCUCUAAGGAACUCGGCAAAAUGACUCCGUAACUUCGGGAGAAGGAGUGCCUUAUUUAUAAGGUUGCAAUAACAAGAUCCAAGCAACUGUUUAUCAAAAACACAGGUCUCCGCUAAGUCGUAAGACGAUGUAUGGGGGCUGACGCCUGCCCAGUGCCAGAAGGUUAAAGAAGUUGGUUAGUGUAUGCGAAGCUGAUGACUGAAGCCCUGGUGAACGGCGGCCGUAACAAUAACGGUCCUAAGGUAGCGAAAUUCCUUGUCGGGUAAGUUCCGACCCGCACGAAAGGCGUAAUGAUUUGGAUACUGUCUCGGAGAGAGGCUCGGUGAAAUAGACUUGUCUGUGAAGAUGCGGACUACCUGCACCAGGACAGAAAGACCCUAUGAAGCUUUACUGUAACUUGAAAUUGGAAUUGGACUUUGCUUGCGCAGUAUAGGUGGGAAGCGUUGAAAAUAUUCUUGCGGGAGUAUUGGAGCUAUCAGUGAGAUACCACUCUUGUAAUGUUAGAUUUCUAACUUUGAACCAUAAUCUGGUCAAAGAACAGUUUCAGGUGGGCAGUUUGACUGGGGCGGUCGCCUCCCAAAUGGUAACGGAGGCGUACAAAGGUUUCCUCUGAACGGAUAGAAAUCGUAUCUAGAGUGUAAAGGCAUAAGGAAGCUUGACUGUGAGACCUACAAGUCGAGCAGGGACGAAAGUCGGUCUUAGUGAUCUGACGGUACUGAGUGGAAAGGCCGUCACUCAACGGAUAAAAGUUACUCUAGGGAUAACAGGCUGAUCUCCCCCAAGAGUUCACAUCGACGGGGAGGUUUGGCACCUCGAUGUCGGCUCAUCGCAUCCUGGGGCGGUAGUACGUCCCAAGGGUUGGGCUGUUCGCCCAUGAAAGCGGUACGCGAGCUGGGUUCAGAACGUCGUGAGACAGUUCGGUCCAUAUCCGGUGUAGGCGCUAGAAUAUUGAGAGGAGCCUUCUUUAGUACGAGAGGACCGAGAAGGACACACCGCUGGUGUACCAGUUAUCGUGCCAACGGUAAACGCUGGGUAGCUAUGUGUGGAGUGGAUAACCGCUGAAAGCAUCUAAGUGGGAAGCCCACCUCGAAAUGAGUAUUCGC